AUUCUAGGGAUUGAAGUGGAAUCAUGGCAGUUGGCAGUGCUUCAACUUGUUUCAUAGAACAGACAUGAAUAUGAUGUAGAGAAAUUGCAUUUACCAGGAGCGCACCAGGGGGCAUUGGUCUGAAGUUUUCAUAAUUGGAACAGGACUGCGGACAUUUCAGAAACAAACUUAAUUAUAAUAGAUGCAGAUUGAAAAUGAGAAUGUACCAAGGAUCAGUUGUUGUGCCAGUUUUGGAUAUGAUCUGCAUAUUUGAUUUGAUUUCAAAGAUUUCAGUGUCAAUAGCAGCUACUGGCAGUCUGUGAUUCAGUGGGUUUUCCAAGAGUUUCUCUUGAUGGAUAUUGUCCAACCAGCGAACACUGUGGUAAUUCUAGUCUGAGUAAGGAAGAAUAUUCCAAAUAUGGGUAAUGUGAAAAAUACCACAUCAUUCUGAAAAAUCACUAUAAGAAUCUUAGAUAACUGCCUGUUUUCCAAAACCCGAGGGCAAGCAUGGAAUGGAAAACUGAUUGCUAGCAAGGUUUUUUAUCCAUGCUGUCCCGAGGGUGUGGAAAACACCUGCCUUACUCGGGCAGACAUUAAGAUCAUUUUUCUUGCCUACCAUUACUAUUAUUGCAAUAUUUUCAGAGAUAUUGUAGAUAAAAAUUGCUGUACAUUAUGACAUCAAAUAAUGACAUGAGUAUGUGCACA